CUGGGUGAAGAGAGAUUUAAAAAUAACAAUCCUUUGUCAGUUCAGAGAGGACUUUAGUAUAACUUAGAUCUCAUAGCAGGCAAGUACUCUGGAUGUGGAAAUGAACAUGAUCUACAUCAAAUUUCAAGACAGAAGGGAGGAGAUGAGGAGACAGAGGUUCCAAGAGGCAGAAGCAAUCAUGCAGUGACAGAGCGGGGAAGUGACAGAGCUGGGAAAUGAGAUUUGGGGCAGGGAGGGGAGUCCUCAUUCCAGAGCCCAGGGAAUUUCCUUCCCUAUGUCUGGACUGUUACGCACUUGCCAUUCAGAGUACCAACUCUGCACCAGACAUCCUGCUAGGUGCCAGUGCUGGGAGGCACAGUGAAUGGGCCAGGCCUGGCCUCUGCGUGAGCCACAGUCUACCAGAAGCCCCUGAAGUGCUGAGAAUACUCAUCAGAGGCCAAAUGAAAGACUUCUUUUUGCCUCCACUCACCUACUCCCAGCCCUACCACCUGCCAGCUGUGUGACCUUGGACAAUUACCUCCCCUCUCUGCUUUAGUCCCAUGACAAUAAAAUGGCAGAAAUAUUAA